CGACAUGGGUCUGUAGCUCAGCUGGUUAGAGCACCGUCUUGAUAAGGCGGGGGUCGUUGGUUCGAGCCCAACUAGACCCACCAAAUCUUCCGAACAUAAGAUGCGAGGAUCAGUGGGGGAUUAGCUCAGCUGGGAGAGCACCUGCUUUGCAAGCAGGGGGUCGUCGGUUCGAUCCCGUCAUCCUCCACCAACCAAUAUGUCCUGCGGUAGGGCAAAGAAACUAACACCAAAGCGGCUUCGCAAGAGGCCUCUUUGUUGUUGGUCCGGUAUAGACCGGGUCAAUCGGCUGUUCUUUAAAAAUUCAUAGAGUCGAAUCAGCGUUGUCGGCGGAAAGCAGGAAACUGCACCGUGCCGUCGGCAACAAAAAUUUGAUUGCGUCAAAACGAAUAUUCAAUUGAGCGAAAGCUGAUUGAAGUUCAGUAAUGACGAAUUGUUCUCUAGGUAGCAAUACCGAAGAAGAAUUCACAUUACGGCAUAACGCGCGAGGUGAAAGACCUCGCAAGUCCUUGAAAGAAAGCGGAAA
rnacentral:tRNA from 1 species